UAGUUCUUUGCCUAAGGCUGAAGACUUGGGU
rnacentral:piRNA from 1 species